rnacentral:rRNA from 1 species
GAUGAACGCUGGCGGCGUGCUUAACACAUGCAAGUCGAACGGAAAGGCUCCUGCUUGCAGGGGUACUCGAGUGGCGAACGGGUGAGUAACACGUGGGUGAUCUGCCCUGCACUUCGGGAUAAGCCUGGGAAACUGGGUCUAAUACCGGAUAGGACGAUGGUUUGUAUGCCAUUGUGGAAAGUUUUUCGGUGUGGGAUGAGCUCGCGGCCUAUCAGCUUGUUGGUGGGGUAAUGGCCUACCAAGGCGUCGACGGGUAGCCGGCCUGAGAGGGUGUACGGCCACAUUGGGACUGAGAUACGGCCCAGACUCCUACGGGAGGCAGCAGUGGGGAAUAUUGCACAAUGGGCGCAAGCCUGAUGCAGCGACGCCGCGUGGGGGAUGACGGCCUUCGGGUUGUAAACUCCUUUCGCUAGGGACGAAGCGCAAGUGACGGUACCUGGAGAAGAAGCACCGGCUAACUACGUG